rnacentral:rRNA from 1 species
UAGGGAAUCUUCCACAAUGGGCGAAAGCCUGAUGGAGCAACGCCGCGUGUGUGAUGAAGGCUUUAGGGUCGUAAAGCACUGUUGUAUGGGAAGAAAUGCUAGAAUAGGGAAUGGUUCUAGUUCGACGGUACCAUACCAGAAAGGGACGGCUAAAUACGUGCCAG